GGUGAACGCUGGCGGUAGGCCUAACACAUGCAAGUCGAGCGGCAUCACAGUAGUGGCUUGCUCGUACGCGUGGCCAGUGGCGGUGGUGUGUGGAAUGCAUCGGACUUGACUUUUUCAUGGGGGAUACCCUCGGGAAACUGGCGCUAUUACCCCUUAUGACCUACGGGUCAAGGCAUUCGGUCUUCAGGCCUUCCGCUAGUGGAUGGGCCUAUGUCGGAUUAGCUAGUUGGCGGGGUAACGGCCCACCAAGGCUACGAUGCGUAGCUGGUCUGAGAGGAUGAUCAGCCACACUGGAACUGAGACACGGUACAGACCACUCUGGGAGGCAGCAGUGGGGAAUAUUGGAUAAAGGGAGCAAGGUUGAUCCAGACAUACCACGUGGGGGAAGAAGGCCUUCGGGUUGUAAAGGUCAUCCGUUGGGAACGAAAAGCAGCAGGUUAAACGCGUGCUGUUCUGACGGUACCCAAAGAAUAAGCACCGGCUAACUCCGUG
rnacentral:rRNA from 1 species